UACGAAGGGGGCUAGCGUUGCUCGGAAUCACUGGGCGUAAAGCGCACGUAGGCGGAUUGUUAAGUCAGGGGUGAAAUCCUGGAGCUCAACUCCAGAACUGCCUUUGAUACUGGCGAUCUCGAGUCCGGGAGAGGUGAGUGGAACUGCGAGUGUAGAGGUGAAAUUCGUAGAUAUUCGCAAGAACACCAGUGGCGAAGGCGGCUCACUGGCCCGGUACUGACGCUGAUGUGCGAAAGCGUGGGGAGCAAACAGGG
rnacentral:rRNA from 1 species